GUGCUCGCUUCCGCAGCAUGUAUACUAAAAUUGGAACCAUACAGAGAAGGUUAACACGGAUCCUAAGUCAGGAUGGCACACACACAAAACAAAACAAAACAAAAAAC
ensembl:snRNA U6 U6 spliceosomal RNA